GUCGGCGAAAGCCAGCCCUCCUCCUCCUCCAUCGGUCCCGAUCGGGUGGCGGCGAGUCGGCUAUGGCGGAGAUCGGGGUUCACGUAGCGCUCAGGUCUGCAAAGUUCAAAACAAGCUUCUCUGACCUUACUUACAAUCUACCCCAUGGGACCAACGAGAAGCUGAACGAUGCUUGGCUCGUAUACUAUGACUCUAUGUUGUGAUAUCGUAUCUUUAUGACAGCAUUAAGAUAGUCUGACACUGUAUGUUGUUAUGAGCAGCAUGCUUGUUUGCAUCACCUUCACCAAUGCUUGAGUGGCCCCUUGCUCUCUGGCCAUUGCUUUUAGCGGGGAUACUUGCUGCCAUCUUGCUCGAAAGCAACCUUAGGAGCAGUUUGGAAACCCUGCAUAGCAUUUGUCGGGGGCUUGUUGGCCUAACUCAAGUCUGUAGUUAAUUCUGAUAUUGACAAGGCCAGUCAUAUGGAUCAGUUGAAGUCCCAGUUUGGACCGCCAAUCUACAUUUUUCUCUUUUGCCAAAGGCAAAAGACCUGUUGUCUGCAGAGCUGUAUGCUAUGGGAUGCAGUUGAUGUUGAGUUUUCUCUAAAUCUUAUGCUAUGCUAUCUAGCUAAGUUCGAAAACCUUUGAAGCCAAAACUAAGAAUCAUGCAAGCUUCCAUGUUUUGUGCGACAAUAUCUGCUGCUGUUCACCUGCUUGGAUUGUGAAAGUAUGUGCCUCAUGAGCAGCAGAAGCAAGCUCCCAUGUUUUGUUUUGAUUCUCUGCGGUGCUUACUCAGUAGUACAGUAAGGUUGACUGUAGCACAUCGGUCGAUCGAUGUGAGAGACUAUGGAGGAUAGA